rnacentral:piRNA from 1 species
GCACAGAGCUCCAGAGCGGCCUGAGUGC